rnacentral:rRNA from 1 species
AACCAACAGGGAUUGCCUCAGUAACGGCGAGUGAAGCGGCAACAGCUCAAAUUUGAAAUCUGGCCUCUUCGGGGUCCGAGUUGUAAUUUGUAGAGGAUGUUUCGGGUACCGCCCCGGUCUAAAUUUCUUGGAACAGAAUGUCAAAGAGGGUGAGAAUCCCGUCUUGGACCGGCGGUAGGGCCUAUGUGAAACUCCUUCGACGAGUCGAGUUGUUUGGGAAUGCAGCUCAAAAUGGGUGGUAUAUUUCAUCUAAAGCUAAAUAUUGGCCAGAGACCGAUAGCGCACAAGUAGAGUGAUCGAAAGAUGAAAAGCACUUUGAAAAGAGAGUUAAACAGUACGUGAAAUUGUUGAAAGGGAAGCGCUUGCAAUCAGACUUGAGCGCGGCGGUUCCCCCUUCCUUUUGGCUGGGUUAUUCCGCCGUGUCCAGGCCAACAUCGGUUCUGGGGGUCGGUUAAAGGCUCUGGGAAUGUAUCUUCCUUCGGGUUGACUUAUAGCCCAGGGUGUCAUGCGACCUCCCGGGACCGAGGAACGCGCUUCGGCUCGGAUGUUGGCGUAAUGGUUGUCA